CGAACGCUGGCGGCAGGCUUAACACAUGCAAGUCGAGCGGGCACUUCGGUGUCAGCGGCAGACGGGUGAGUAACACGUGGGAACGUACCCUUUGGUUCGGAAUAACGCUGGGAAACUAGCGCUAAUACCGGAUACGCCCUUUUGGGGAAAGGCUUGCUGCCGAAGGAUCGGCCCGCGUCUGAUUAGCUAGUUGGUGGGGUAAUGGCCUACCAAGGCGACGAUCAGUAGCUGGUCUGAGAGGAUGAUCAGCCACACUGGGACUGAGACACGGCCCAGACUCCUACGGGAGGCAGCAGUGGGGAAUAUUGGACAAUGGGCGCAAGCCUGAUCCAGCCAUGCCGCGUGAGUGAUGAAGGUCUUAGGGUUGUAAAGCUCUUUUGUCCGGGACGAUAAUGACGGUACCGGAAGAAUAAGCCCCGGCUAACUUCGUG
rnacentral:rRNA from 1 species